rnacentral:rRNA from 1 species
AGUGAACGCUGGCGGCAUGCCUAACACAUGCAAGUCGAACGGCAGCACAGGAAGUGCUUGCUCUUACCGGUGGCGAGUGGCGGGCGGGUGACGUAUACAUCGGAACCUACGUUGUCGUGGGGGCGAACGUAGGCGGACUUAUGCUAAUACCGCAUACCACAUACGGGCGGAAGCACGGGAUCUUCGGACCUUGCGCGAUUGAAUGAGCCGAUGUCGGAUUAGCUAGUUGGCGGGGUAAAGGCCCACCAAGGCGACGAUCCGUAGCUGGUCUGAGAGGAUGAUCAGCCACACUGGGACUGAGACACGGUCCAGACUCCUACGGGAGGCAGCAGUGGGGAAUUUUGGACAAUGGGCGAAAGCCUGAUCCAGCAAUGCCGCGUGUGUGAAGAAGGCCUUCGGGUUGUAAAGCCCUUUUGUUCGGAAAGAAAAGCUGGAGUCUAAUACAGCCCUGUUAUGACGGUACCCAAAGAAUAAGCACCGGCUAACUACGUG